rnacentral:rRNA from 1 species
AUUCCAGCUCCAAUAGCGUAUAUUAAAGUUGUUGUGGUUAAAAAGCUCGUAGUUGGAUUUCGGCGAGUAUAGGUUGGUUUGAAUUGCUUCAAUACUGACUUUUUUACCCGUGUGUUUUGCCAGAAUUUAACGGGUGAUCUUCGCCGAUUGUCUGUUAGAACUGACAGGUUUACUUUGAAAAAAUUAGAGUGCUCAAAGCAAGCUUGAUUGCUUGAAUAUUCGUGCAUGGAAUAAUAGAAUAGGAAGUCGUUUCUAUUUUGUUGGUUUUCGGAAAUCGACUUAAUGAUUAAUAGGGACAGUCGGGGGCAUUUGUAUUCAAACGACAGAGGUGAAAUUCUUGGACCGUUUGAAGACAAACUACUGCGAAAGCAUUUGCCAAGAAUGUUUUCAUUA